rnacentral:misc_RNA from 1 species
AAAAAAAAAAAAAAAAAAAAAAAAAGUGUCUCCUAAUUCUGUUUCAGUAAAGGAAAUAUGCAAAAUCCAAUGUGAAAUUACAGAACUUAUGGUACAAGUUAAACUGCAAUAAGCAACAUUGAUAAUACAUUAGGAGAAUCAACAGAGCUCAAAAACAAGUUGCUCCAACUUCCUUCUUCCUCCUCCAAACAACGGCACUCCCUAAUAUGGUGGGAUCCCAUUUCUGAAAAGAAUUCACAUGCAGGUGCAGCCAAGCUAUUGUUUUUGUCAAUCUAACACGAACAUAAAACUCUCUUUUACUGUAUCUACACAGUUGCGAUUAAAAAUGCUACAAAAAGUAUAGUGACAUUAAUCCUCGGUAGAAAUCUUUUGCUUCUUCCAGCGGUAUGCAGCUUCCAAGAUCUUCAGAUUUGGGGCCUGAGUUUCUUCUGGGAAUACGUAAUCUGUGAAUUCCUCCAUCCCAGCCAGACCGUCUUCUGAAGUAAUAGGCCGCCUCUUUUUGAGCUUCUUAGGCAGCUUAGGCUGGACUAAGCCAACAUCACCUAAAUAACCAAAACUGCUCUCCAUGUUCAACCAUUCUUCUAAAAGCAUAGCACGUUCCUCCUUCAAUUCAGGUGCUGAUGUUCUGAAGUAGUUAAUGGCUUUCUCAAAGACCCUUCUUGCAUUUUGAAUACACUUUCUCUUCUGCUCCUCCAACGAAUCUGCACCCUCAACAACCUCUUCCAUGGCAGAUGCCUCAAAUUCUGCAUAACUAAUCCAAACCUUCAAAUGCUUUGUUCGGUCCAAUAGUCUCUCGUAAAGAUGCCGUGUUCUGUCGUAUUCACCUUCAGAGAUUUCAAAAUCAAUAUAUGCCUUCCACAA